GAAUGCUGACAUAAGUAACGAUAAAGCGGGUGAAAAGCCCGCUCGCCGGAAGACCAAGGGUUCCUGUCCAACGUUAAUCGGGGCAGGGUGAGUCGACCCCUAAGGCGAGGCCGAAAGGCGUAGUCGAUGGGAAACGGGUUAAUAUUCCCGUACUUGGUGUUACUGCGAAGGGGGGACGGAGAAGGCUAUGUUGGCCGGGCGACGGUUGUCCCGGUUUAAGCGUGUAGGUGUGUGUUCCAGGUAAAUCCGGUUCACUUUAACACUGAGGCGUGACGACGAGGCACUACGGUGCUGAAGCAACAAAUGCCCUGCUUCCAGGAAAAGCCUCUAAGCAUCAGGUAACAUCAAAUCGUACCCCAAACCGACACAGGUGGUCAGGUAGAGAAUACCAAGGCGCUUGAGAGAACUCGGGUGAAGGAACUAGGCAAAAUGGUGCCGUAACUUCGGGAGAAGGCACGCUGACACGUAGGUGAAGUGAUUUACUCAUGGAGCUGAAGUCAGUCGAAGAUACCAGCUGGCUGCAACUGUUUAUUAAAAACACAGCACUGUGCAAACACGAAAGUGGACGUAUACGGUGUGACGCCUGCCCGGUGCCGGAAGGUUAAUUGAUGGGGUCAGCGCAAGCGAAGCUCCUGAUCGAAGCCCCGGUAAACGGCGGCCGUAACUAUAACGGUCCUAAGGUAGCGAAAUUCCUUGUCGGGUAAGUUCCGACCUGCACGAAUGGCGUAAUGAUGGCCAGGCUGUCUCCACCCGAGACUCAGUGAAAUUGAACUCGCUGUGAAGAUGCAGUGUACCCGCGGCAAGACGGAAAGACCCCGUGAACCUUUACUAUAGCUUGACACUGAACAUUGAGCCUUGAUGUGUAGGAUAGGUGGGAGGCUUUGAAGUGUGGACGCCAGUCUGCAUGGAGCCGACCUUGAAAUACCACCCUUUAAUGUUUGAUGUUCUAACGUGGACCCGUUACCCGGGUUGCGGACAGUGUCUGGUGGGUAGUUUGACUGGGGCGGUCUCCUCCUAAAGAGUAACGGAGGAGCACGAAGGUUGGCUAAUCCUGGUCGGACAUCAGGAGGUUAGUGCAAUGGCAUAAGCCAGCUUGACUGCGAGCGUGACGGCGCGAGCAGGUGCGAAAGCAGGUCAUAGUGAUCCGGUGGUUCUGAAUGGAAGGGCCAUCGCUCAACGGAUAAAAGGUACUCCGGGGAUAACAGGCUGAUACCGCCCAAGAGUUCAUAUCGACGGCGGUGUUUGGCACCUCGAUGUCGGCUCAUCACAUCCUGGGGCUGAAGUAGGUCCCAAGGGUAUGGCUGUUCGCCAUUUAAAGUGGUACGCGAGCUGGGUUUAGAACGUCGUGAGACAGUUCGGUCCCUAUCUGCCGUGGGCGCUGGAGAACUGAGGGGGGCUGCUCCUAGUACGAGAGGACCGGAGUGGACGCAUCACUGGUGUUCGGGUUGUCAUGCCAAUGGCACUGCCCGGUAGCUAAAUGCGGAAGAGAUAAGUGCUGAAAGCAUCUAAGCACGAAA
rnacentral:rRNA from 1 species